CACCACUACCACCACCACCACCACCACCACCGCCGGCCAGACAGUCAGCCUCAGCCCUCAGUGUGUCUCUAACAGCCGUGGCGAGAGGGCGUGUGUCGCUUGAGCUCCACGUCGCCCCAACACAGGGAAUUAAUACUAUCAGGGAAAUUACCUUGGAAAAAAUAAUAUCCUGAAAAAGGAGAAAAAGUUACCCCAGAUUAUUAACUUUUCCCUGAUUUUUCGGAGUCUCGUAAGUUUGUUUUCUGUUUUUUGGGUCAAGUUUGAGUCUGUUUUUUUUUCUUCGCGUUCGUCAGUUUCUUUCUGAGGAGUUUCUUUUUUAUGUUUUUUGUGGAGAUUUGACCCCAAAAGUAAGUCACGGGAAAGAGAGAGGAAGAAAAGUUGGAAAAAUGUAAAAAGUGGUAAAAAAAAUUCGCCACUGCUUAAAGAAAACUUCGUAAAUGAGGAAGAAAUAAAGAACCGUGGAAAUCUUUACCUUAGCAAAACUUUGAAAAGAAGAAAUUGCAAGUCACACAAAUUUUAGCUUUUAAGAAAGUAUAAAUAAGAGACAACAGAACUAACUGAAGAAAUAAAGUUGACGAAAGAAGAACAAACUGAAACAGAAGACGAAAAUCAGAAAACAAGAAAUAGAAAGAAAAGAAAAACAGUGUUAACAGUGACCUAACAAAAAGAAACUGAAGAAGAAAGUUAAAUAAGGAAAAACAAGCUAAAGAAAAAGACGAGAAAGAGGAAAAACAAGAAAAGUAAAAAGAAAAAAAGUGUUAACAGUGAAAAAAAAGCCGCCCCGACAGAAUAAUAAGAGGAAAAAGAUAUAUUUAUUUCCUCAUAAACUUUGGAAAAAAAUAGAAAAAAAUAGACCAAAAGGGGACUGUCCAAAAAAUAAAAACGAACCAUAUUUGACUUUCUAAUCGAGUGAACGUGGUGAAAAAAUUAUCAUCUGGACGAUCUUGUGGCAUGGCAGGAGUCUCGCUGAGGAAGUCGAGGGACACAAUACGAAUGCCCUCCGACCUGCCUACCGAACCCUGAAGAAGCCCCGCUGCGCGCCUCCCUCUCUGACUGAAGACGUGAGGGGAACUGCGGCC